GAAAGAUUAGUUUAAGUAAAAUAUUGAUUUUGUAAAUCAAAGAAGCAAAACUUUCUUUCA
rnacentral:tRNA from 1 species